UGCUACAAUGGGUAGUACAGAGGGUUGCCAAGCCGUAAGGUGGAGCUAAUCCCUUAAAGCUACUCUCAGUUCGGAUUGUAGGCUGAAACUCGCCUACAUGAAGCUGGAGUUACUAGUAAUCGCAGAUCAGAAUGCUGCGGUGAAUGCGUUCCCGGGUCUUGUACACACCGCCCGUCACACCACGGGAGUUGGAGACGCCCGAAGCCGAUUAUCUAACCUUUUGGAAGAAGUCGUCGAAGG
rnacentral:rRNA from 1 species